rnacentral:rRNA from 1 species
GAUGAACGCUAGCGGAAGGCAUAAUACAUGCAAGUCGAACGGAUGUAGCAAUACAUUAGUGGCGCACGGGUGCGUAACGCGUAUGCAACCUACCUUCAUCAGGGGGAUAACUACUCGAAAGGGUGGCUAACACCGCAUAAUACUACUGAAUGGCAUCAUUUGGUAUUUAAAUCUGAGGAGGAUGAAGAUGGGCAUGCGUCUGAUUAGCUAGUUGGUGUGGUAACGGCGCACCAAGGCGACGAUCAGUAGGGGAACUGAGAGGUUGGUCCCCCACACUGGCACUGAGAUACGGGCCAGACUCCUACGGGAGGCAGCAGUAGGGAAUAUUGGUCAAUGGUGGGAACACUGAACCAGCCAUUCCGCGUGCAGGAAGAAGGGUCUCUGACUUGUAAACUGCUUUAGCAAGGGAAGAAAAAGCUCAUGCGUGAGAAAUUGACGGUACCUUGAGAAUAAGCACCGGCUAACUACGUGCCAGCAGCCCGCGGUAA